rnacentral:rRNA from 1 species
AGAGUUUGAUCCUGGCUCAGGAUGAACGCUGGCGGCGUGCCUAAUACAUGCAAGUCGAGCGAACAGACGAGGAGCUUGCUCCUUUGACGUUAGCGGCGGACGGGUGAGUAACACGUGGAUAACCUACCUAUAAGACUGGGAUAACUUCGGGAAACCGGAGCUAAUACCGGAUAACAUGUUGAACCGCAUGGUUCAACAGUGAAAGACGGUCUUGCUGUCACUUAUAGAUGGAUCCGCGCCGCAUUAGCUAGUUGGUAAGGUAACGGCUUACCAAGGCAACGAUGCGUAGCCGACCUGAGAGGGUGAUCGGCCACACUGGAACUGAGACACGGUCCAGACUCCUACGGGAGGCAGCAGUAGGGAAUCUUCCGCAAUGGGCGAAAGCCUGACGGAGCAACGCCGCGUGAGUGAAGAAGGUCUUCGGAUCGUAAAACUCUGUUAUUAGGGAAGAACAAAUGUGUAAGUAACUAUGCACGUCUUGACGGUACCUAAUCAGAAAGCCACGGCUAACUACGUGCCAGCAGCCGCGGUAAUACGUAGGUGGCAAGCGUUAUCCGGAAUUAUUGGGCGUAAAGCGCGCGUAGGCGGUUUUUUAAGUCUGAUGUGAAAGCCCACGGCUCAACCGUGGAGGGUCAUUGGAAACUGGAAAACUUGAGUGCAGAAGAGGAAAGUGGAAUUCCAUGUGUAGCGGUGAAAUGCGCAGAGAUAUGGAGGAACACCAGUGGCGAAGCGACUUUCUGGUCUGUAACUGACGCUGAUGUGCGAAAGCGUGGGGAUCAAACAGGAUUAGAUA